UACGGAGGGUGCGAGCGUUGUCCGGAUUUAUUGGGUUUAAAGGGUGCGUAGGCGGGCUUAUAAGUCAGUGGUGAAAUCCAGCUGCUCAACAGUUGAUGUGCCAUUGAUACUGUAGGUCUUGAAGUAAUUGGAGGCUGCCGGAACGGAUGGUGUAGCGGUGAAAUGCAUAGAUAUCAUCCAGAACACCUAUUGCGAAGGCAGGUGGCUACGAUUAACUUGACGCUGAUGCACGAAAGCAUGGGGAGCAAAC
rnacentral:rRNA from 1 species